rnacentral:rRNA from 1 species
ACAUUUUUUAGAGCCUAAUUCACCUUAAUUAACAAUUAAAAUUACAUUCAAAUCCAAAUUCAGAAAUUUAAUGCUAAAACCCCUCCUCAAAUAAAUAUAUUGUAAUCCAUCUCUACUAAAAUAAGCUGCACCUUGAUCUGAUUUUUAAUUUAAUAAAAUAUCCUAAUUAUAUAUUUCCAAAAAUAAUUUUUAACGACGAUAUACAAGCAAAAUUCGAGUUUUAUUAAUCGUGGAUUAUCGAUUACAGGACAGAUUCCCCUGAUUGGAAUAAAAAACCGCCAAAUUUUUUGAUUUUAAAGAACAUAGCUAAUAUUUGUCAAGUCUAAAAUAUCUACAUCUAGAAUAAUGGGGUAUCUAAUCCCAGUCUAAAAUCCAGGUUUCUUAACCUCAUAAUCAAAAAUUUAAUUUAAUAGAAAAUAAGAUUUCACCCAAUAUUCCCUAAAAUAAAAAUCAACCUUUUAUUAAUUAAGUAUAGUAACUGUAAAAAAAUAGUAGUUUUAUUUGUUUAACCGCA